rnacentral:lncRNA from 1 species
GGGAGAGCAGGGAGGUGUCAUGAGGGAAACUCCCAGCUGGGACCAGGAGGCCCAGAUCCGUGCGGGUGAAGUCGCGGACCUGCUGCGGGAGCUGGGGGGCCAACAUCCUCGGUUUCUGGACCCGGGGAGGAAACAAGGGCACAAGAAGUCCGAUCAGCGGAUGGUCUCCGCCAGGAGAGGAGGACGAGACAUGGCUGGAAAGGACUGCCUCCUUCCUGUUUCACCGGGACAAAUUUAUGCAGUCAUAUCAGACUCAUCUUUCCAAGGCAAGCACCAAAGAUCCCACUGGGAGAAGAUCACUCAUCUUCCUUUGAGGACAGAAGAUCUCUACCUCUGAACUGUUAGUUUCUUCCAAAACAGUAUCGGGAAACAUGGAAGACUCCUACAAGGGUCAUGAAUGAUGUCCAAAGAAGUUUGACUCGAGUGUUUGGGUAAGUAACAGUGAAGUAUUUUCAAUAGUAUAAUUGUAACAUUUCCGCAGAUCAU